GCCGGUCUAGUUCAGUGGGAGAACGGCAGAUUUGUAAUCUGCGCGUCAGAGGUUCGAUUCCUUUGCCCGGCACCA
rnacentral:tRNA from 5 species